CCCUUAGAUGUUCUGGGCCGCACGCGCGCUACACUGAAUGGAUCAACGUGUUUUCCCUUCCCGAGAGGGACGGGUAACCCGCUGAACCCCAUUCGUGGUAGGGAUCGGAGCUUGCAAUUGUUCUCCGUGAACCAGGAAUUCCCAGUAAGCGCAAGUCAUAAGCUUGCGUUGAUUACGUCCCUGCCCUUUGUACACACCGCCCGUCGCACCUACCGAUUGAAUGGUCCGGUGAACCCUCCGGAUCGGCCCGCGCCAACGCAAGUUGAGCAAAGGCCGAGAAGUUGGGUAAACCUUACCAUUUAGAGGAAGGUGAAGUCGUAACA
rnacentral:rRNA from 1 species